CUGAUACAAAGAAGAAAUUAAAUGGGGAAUUAGGGUUAGAAGUGGGACCAUGGAGUUCUUGAACUCAGAAGCUUCUCCUCUUCACGCGAACACGACGGCGCCGGUGUUCAAGCUCUUCUCUGGUCGGAGCUUCUCCGCCUCGAUUCAUACUCUCGAUUCCAUCUCUUUCUCCGUCGUUUAUCUCUCAGACUCUCAAGUCUUCGUCUCAAUCGAGCACUUCUUCGUUCCGAUUCAACUUCUCGCCACCGUAGCUUAUGGCGGAGAACACAAACGAAUAUGCAGCAAUGAGAGACGCUUGCCGACCGGAGAGCGUCCGCCGCACCUCCGAAGACCGCGAGAUCAACAAGAAAACCGUAAAUCUUUCAUCGCGCAAAGUUCAGAAAAUGGAGUUGUUGUUGAUGCUGAGGCGAUGAUGAUGAUGAACGUUGUUGCGUUGAUGUUGUUGUACGUGAAAUGGUGAAUUCGUUAGAAUUUUGUGCGAUGAAGAAAAACGGAUCGAGAGUGAAUCUUGAGGAUGAUGAAGGUUAUCGUCUUCUGGUAAUUGUAUGAAGAACGUAGAGUUGUGGAUUGAAGGAUUCAGAUGUUGUUGAAUCUGUGUUCUCAGAUUGAAGAAGUGUGGAGAAUAGGUGAUGAAGUUUGUUGAUGAAGAGAGAAGGAUCUGGAUUCUGUUACAGGUUGUUACUCUUUUCUGUUAUGCUUUUGUGUUAUCGAUUUUCUCUUGUGAAUUCUGUUACAGAUUCUUUCGUUUUUUCCUUCUUCUUUUCUGAGUUUUUGCGAUGAUUGGAGGAUUGAAGAAUGAAUCGUGAGAUGAUGAUAUUGAAGGUUUAUGGAGCUUAUCUGUUAUGGCUGAAGGUUGGAUAAAGAUUGAUUGAAGAAGCUUGGAGAAGAUGAAGAUUGAAGAGAGUUUGUUACGGAUUCGAGGCGGCUUGAUUUUGAGGCUUUUUCUUGACUGUGUAUUAUCCAAAGGAUAUGGAUCAAGGUUGAAGUGCUUGAUGAAGGGCCUUGAAGAUUGUCAAUAGGCUAACAAUAUUUGUAUUUUUUCACUAUUCAGGACGAUGACAAAACUUGUAAUGUAUGGAUGUUGUGAAUUCGACUUGAAUGACCUUGUAAUGAACUUUUGAAUAUUGAACAUAAUCACACUUGAA